AAAUUUCUUCUGGAGAGGCCAAAUCCAUGCUACUGGCUGCUGCAUGUCUGAGUCUUGUGUAAGAAUACUCCAGAGGUAGCUACGGAAGCUAACACUUCAGUCCUGAAGACUCUGGAUAAUGUUUUCAUAAGUUCUUAUCAGAGAAGACAUUUCCUGCUCUCUAUUAGGUUUCUGAUUCAGCAGCUCUGCGAUGGGACCCGAUAAUUUGUCAUUCUACAAAGGUAUCCAGUGCUUCUGCUGCCGCUCUGAGGACCAUACUUUGAGAAGCACUCGCCUAACAGGGAACAUUGCUGAGAUGCUGCCAGAUUCCCAAAGUACUGCAGAUUAUCAUUCAAGCUCAACAUGGCUACAGGUCUCGAGACUUACUGACAAGGAUGGAGACUGGUUGGCGUAUCCAUUAUCAAAGGAGGUAAACCCCUGAAUCAGAUUCCUACUCUCUACUGGCUCCAUUCACAAUAAGGCCCAGCCAGAUGUCAAUUACAAUGUUAUCAUUCUUAAUUGGCUGAGAGACUUGGAGCAAGGAGACAAGCUGUGAACAAGGAGACAAUGCAGUGGAUCCACAAGGCCAGAGACACAGUUAAAUCAAGAGCCAAAGCCAGAGAAAGGACAGAAGCAAAGAAAAACCCCAUCAAUCAAAGCAGGAGUGAGACCCUGGGGUAUGCUGGGAGAAGGCGAGGUGUAAAUAUUGAGUUGCACUGGCCCAUGAUGGAUAUUGUUAAAGCUGUACUUCUGUGCUGGAGGCCCUUCUUCCUAAAGCCAAGCUCCAAGUCCCUAAGGGUCAGGUCCUGCCUGACAUUUUGCAGUUAUCUAUUUACUUCUUUCUCUCCCUUACUGAUUGGAGAGCUACCCAAGGGCACUGUAUAAUUCAUCAACCUAUGAUUUGUGUAAUAUAAUGCCUGUCAUUCAGUAGACAUUCACAUAUACAUACACAGACAAAUACAAUUACUUAUAUAUAUAUUAAUUUAUGAAUACAUGAAUGAUUUUCUCAUAUUAUGAAGGAUCUCUUAGUCUUUAAAUCAUAUUUAAAAUUGAUUCUUGAAGUAUUAGAUUUGAGAAAGCAGAUGAUUUUGGUUGCAUAAUUUUAUAAAAUAAGUAAAAAUAGGCAUAUAAAUAUUUUUAUAUUGGACAUGACUUCUACCUAAUUCAAGCAUGUAUAUGUGAUACUGAAGUGUCAUACCUCAAGGACUGACUGGCUGCACAUGUUUACACAAUGCCAAUUACUGAAAAUAGAUCCACCCUUUGCUGUCUAUUUUGCCUUGAGUGUUUUGCUAAAGCAGUAAUGAGUAAAGUGAUUAAGGAGCAUUGUGCUGGUCCCAAAGAUGCAUCUGGAUUUAUAGGCUUCUAUUUAGCAGCUAUGGGCUAAUAUUGGGGGUUGUUCAAUUUACCUCUAGAAGGAAAAUAAGGUGGCAUUGAGACCAUGUCCCCAUGACAUAGUUUCAGAAAUGGAGCAGGUGACUUACAUGUGACCAUCAUUAAAAUGAAUAGCAGAUUUAAGUACUGGAACAGAUUCAGCUUUGCAGCAUGGUGUUUGCCUGGUUUGAUCAGUAGACUAAAGUGGGCUUGUUGGCGAAAGCUUGUGAUGAGGUCACAGUGCUCCUCAUUAUCUCAUCCAAUUUUGUAAAUGAAGACUGUAGUGUCUGCCGGUUUCUUAGUAAUGCCAUCAUCAUUAUUACCUAUUGAAUAGUAUUGAAAAAAAUGUAGUUGUGCCUCACUCUAAUUAUUAUGAUCUCUCUGGCUUUGUUUCUAAAUGUAUGACUAUACAACUGGCAGAUGGUCACAGACAGUGAGGCAUGGUGGUUGAGGUCAUGAAGUAGAUUCAAAUCCUAAUUCUGUCACUUACUGGCUAGAUGAGGUGGGCAGUGCUACCUCUCACUCAGCCUGAGCAAUUCCAACUCUAAAACGUACCGUUGAAUUCCUCCUUAAUGCUUUAAGUUGAGCACAAGUAUGUGUCCUCUGCAGAGCUUUUCCUGACCACACAGGAACAUAGGUGUGCACUCUCUUCACAUAAUACUUUUUCACUGUUAUUAAAACACAUGUAUAUUAUUAUGUAAUUGAUGUUUUUGCAUGUCUAUAUUUCUUCUAGAUUGUAAGUUCAUUAUAAACUUUAACCCUGCAAUAGUCCAUGCUAAUCAAAUGAAUGGGUGAAUGAUUCACUGUCUGUUUUAAGGAGAAGCAAGAAAUCAAGUAUGAGGAGAAAGUCUGGAGACAGACUGUGGAGCCAGGUUAGGACAGGUUAGUUGUAAUGUAUUUGAAAUUGUUUUGUUCCAUAAAUAAAAAAACAUUUGUGUUUAAUAUUACUGACCAUGUUACAUUCUCUGUAACUCCUAAGUUAAUGAAAAAAUGCAAGAACAGAAGAAAAAUAAAGACAUACGAAUAGCACAAUAUAUUUCCUUCAUAUGACUGGAUGUUUGGGUCCUGUGUUUUAAGUUUUUCUCAGGUUAGUUUAGAAAGCACUUUUAAAGAUUAUUAAUUUAAAACUAAGAAAUCCAAUAAUAAAAUGGUGGGAAAGCAUAGAAAAGUGUGAGAAUUAAAAGGAAAUCAUUGUUCCACUUGAUUCUCUCUUCCCAGAAACAACUAUUUUAACAUUUCACAUUUUUAAGUACUCUUUUAUUUUUACUUUGUAUGAUAAUUAUUGUUAUUUUCUAUUUGUUAAUUGACAAAACUUACAUAUAUUGAUGUUGAACAUGAUAUUUUGAUAUAUGUAUACAUUAUGAAAUGGCUAAAUUAAGCUAAUCAACAAAUGUAUUACAUCUCAUCUUUUUUUUUUUUGUGGUGAGGACACACAAUUCUACUCUCUUUUGUUAACUAUAACCAAUUCUGUGCUGCUGAAAUCAGAACUUCCC
rnacentral:lncRNA from 1 species